rnacentral:ncRNA from 1 species
CAAUUGCCAUGAUGAAGUUCAUGAUGGUAUAUCGCAGCUUCCUAAAGAAAUUUAGGUCGAAAACGAGGUGAAUUGUCUGGAAACCCACACUCUUUUUAAAGAACGGGCAAUCAGCAGCCAAGUCCGUCAGUUGGCGGAAAGGUUCAGAGACUAUCCUUUAUGGAGUACCGUCUAUUUUAAGAUAGAUGGGAAGCGCCUCGCAUCCUACCUUGUAAAGGAGGAUGAUGAUAUAGUCCACCCCUUAAAGAAAUUUUUGG